rnacentral:rRNA from 1 species
ACGCGAGCUGGGUUCAGAACGUCGUGAGACAGUUCGGUCCCUAUCCGUCGCGGGCGUAGGAAAUUUGAGAGGAUCUGCUCCUAGUACGAGAGGACCAGAGUGGACUUACCGCUGGUGUACCAGUUGUCUUGCCAAAGGCAUCGCUGGGUAGCUAUGUAGGGAAGGGAUAAACGCUGAAAGCAUCUAAGUGUGAAACCCACCUCAAGAUGAGAUUUCCCAUUUCUUUAAGAAAGUAAGAUCCCUGAAAGAUGAUCAGGUAGAUAGGUCAGAAGUGGAAGUAUAGUGAUAUAUGGAGCGGACUGAUACUAAUCGAUCGA